UACGGAGGGUGCUAGCGUUGUUCGGAAUUACUGGGCGUAAAGGGCGCGUAGGCGGCCAUUUAAGUCAGUUGUGAAAGCCUGGAGCUUAACCCCGGAACGGCAGCCGAGACUGGUUGGCUCGAGACCGGGAGAGGAGGGCGGAAUACCCAGUGUAGAGGUGAAAUUCGUAGAUAUUGCGCGGAACACCGGUGGCGAAAGCAGCUCUCUGGACCGGUUCUGACGCUGAGGCGCGAAAGCGUGGGUAGCAAACAGG
rnacentral:rRNA from 1 species